UACGUAGGGUCCGAGCGUUGUCCGGAAUUAUUGGGCGUAAAGGGCUCGUAGGCGGUCCGUCACGUCGGGAGUGAAAACUCGGAGCUCAACUCCGAGCCUGCUUCCGAUACGGGCAGACUAGAGGUAGGCAGGGGAGAGCGGAACUCCUGGUGUAGCGGUGGAAUGCGCAGAUAUCAGGAAGAACACCGGUGGCGAAGGCGGCUCUCUGGGCCUUACCUGACGCUGAGGAGCGAAAGCCAGGGGAGCAAACAGG
rnacentral:rRNA from 1 species